UUGAACGCUGGCGGCAUGCCUUACACAUGCAAGUCGAACGGUAACAGGUCUUCGGAUGCUGACGAGUGGCGAACGGGUGAGUAAUAUAUCGGAACAUAUCCUGUCGUGGGGGAUAACUAAUCGAAAGGUUAGCUAAUACCGCAUACGACCUGAGGGAGAAAGCGGGGGCUCGCAAGACCUCGCGCGAUUGGAGUGGCCGAUAUCUGAUUAGCUAGAUGGUGAGGUAAAGGCUCACCAAGGCGACGAUCUGUAGCUGGUCUGAGAGGACGACCAGCCACACUGGAACUGAGACACGGUCCAGACUCCUACGGGAGGCAGCAGUGGGGAAUUUUGGACAAUGGGCGCAAGCCUGAUCCAGCAAUGCCGCGUGCAGGAUGAAGGCCUUCGGGUUGUAAACUGCUUUUGUACGGAACGAAACGGUUCUCUUUAAUAAAGAGGGCUAAUGACGGUACCGUAAGAAUAAGCACCGGCUAACUACGU
rnacentral:rRNA from 1 species